GUUGAAGAACGUAGCGAAAUGCGAUACUUGGUGUGAAAUGCAGAAUCCCGUGAACCAUCGAGUCUUUGAACGCAAGUUGCGCCCGAAGCCAUCAGGUUGAGGGCACGUCUGCCUGGGCGUCACAUAUCGUUGUUCGAUGCCUAUCGCAUUGCGAUAGGACUUAGGGCGAAUGAUGGCUUCCCGUGAGCGUUGUUGCCUCGCGGUUGGUUGAAAAUCGAGUCCUUGGUAGGGUGUGCCAUGAUAGAUGGUGGUCGAGUUAGCACGAGACUGAUCAUGUGCAUGCUCCCCAAAAUAUGGCCUCUGUGACCCACACGCGUCUUUUGACGCUCAUGAUGAGACCUCAGGUCAGGCGGGGCUACCCGCUGAAUUUAAGCAUAUCAAUAAGCGGAGGA
rnacentral:misc_RNA from 1 species